rnacentral:rRNA from 1 species
AUUGAACGCUGGCGGAAUGCUUUACACAUGCAAGUCGAACGGCAGCACGGGGGCAGCCCUGGUGGCGAGUGGCGAACGGGUGAGUAAUACAUCGGAACGUGCCCGGUCGUGGGGGAUAACGUAGCGAAAGUUACGCUAAUACCGCAUACGAUCUGAGGAUGAAAGCGGGGGACCUUCGGGCCUCGCGCGAUCGGAGCGGCCGAUGUCAGAUUAGGUAGUUGGUGGGGUAAAGGCCUACCAAGCCGACGAUCUGUAGCUGGUCUGAGAGGACGACCAGCCACACUGGGACUGAGACACGGCCCAGACUCCUACGGGAGGCAGCAGUGGGGAAUUUUGGACAAUGGGCGCAAGCCUGAUCCAGCCAUUCCGCGUGCAGGACGAGGGCCUUCGGGUUGUAAACUGCUUUUGUACGGAACGAAAAGGCUCUGGCUAAUACCUGGGGCUCAUGACGGUACCGUAAGAAUAAGCACCGGCUAGCUACGUG